rnacentral:rRNA from 1 species
UACGUAGGUCCCGAGCGUUGUCCGGAUUUAUUGGGCGUAAAGCGAGCGCAGGCGGUUAGAUAAGUCUGAAGUUAAAGGCUGUGGCUUAACCAUAGUAUGCUUUGGAAACUGUUUAACUUGAGUGCAGAAGGGGAGAGUGGAAUUCCAUGUGUAGCGGUGAAAUGCGUAGAUAUAUGGAGGAACACCGGUGGCGAAAGCGGCUCUCUGGUCUGUAACUGACGCUGAGGCUCGAAAGCGUGGGGAGCAAACAGGAUUAGAUACCCUGGUAGUCCACGCCGUAAACGAUGUGCGCUGGAUGUUGGGUGGCCUAGCCACUCAGUGUCGUAGCUAACGCGGUAAGCGCACCGCCUGGGGAGUACGGCCGCAAGGUUGAAACUC